UCAUUUUGAACUUUAAUACCGUGAUAGGAAAUAGGGUGAGGGGUCCUUACUUGUUUUCGGGAUCCGAAUACGAUUCACAGUGCGCCUGCAGGCUGUCCCUAAUUUUCCCUGAAUUUUUCCCGGGGAACUGAAACACGCUAACAGUACCUGCACGUGUUCCAAAAAAAAUCCAAAUUAGGCCCAGGGCCUCUUUCGGCCCAAAUCGCAACUCUGGCACGGCGGCUCCGCCGUGCUCCGGCGACGGCGCCGCCGCUGGCGGCGGCGAGUCGCCUCGGGUUGACUGUUUUCGGCCGUUUUUGGCCGAAUUCGGCCACACUCGCAUUGGUCCUUGUCAGAAAACAACCCUAGGGCCCUCGGGGGGCCAAAAAAUCACGGAAAAGCAGAGCUUACCGGCGGCGGCGCUCUCGGGUACGGCGACCCUCCGGCGAGGUUCGUGUUUUGGUGAUUUGGCUUCGGUCAACCUGUAGAGAAAAGAAUGGUGAUCACGGUGAUAUAAAAAUUGCAUCGAACGGAGGCCGGGAAGGGCCUCGUCGGAGGCAAAAACCGAGAGGGGACGCGGCGGCGCCGCUGGGCUUCGGCUGCGUAUUCCGGCCGUUUGGCCAGGAUUUCGGCUUCGAUUUGGCCAUAGGAGGAAUCAGUGGGGAAAAACGAGUCGGGGGUAUGAAAUUUACCUCGAUCGGCGGUCGGAAAUUUCUCCGGUGCGGCGGCGAGUGGUGGCGGGUGGCGGCGGUCGGCCUCUGGUUCGUCUUCUCCGGCGAGUGGCUGGCGGCUAGGGUUUGUGGUCUGGUGUGGGGGUUCUAUUUAUAACCCCUUGCCUUUUGAUCACAGCCGUUCAUUUCAUUUUAAUCUGGACCGUUCGUUUUUGAUUGAAUCUGGGCCGUCCGUGCGUUUGAAUCUGGGCCGUCCGAUCGCGCGAUUGAUCUGGGCCGUCAGAUCGCACCCACGCGGAUCGCCAACGUGGCUCCUUUUGGAGUGACGCGAUCUUGCCACGUGGCAGGCCCCGGUUGGCCGGGACUGCUGACCGGACCUGCUGACGUGGCUGCUGACGUGGGCCCUUUUUUUUUUUUUUUUUUUUUUUUUUUUUUUUUUUUUUUU
rnacentral:lncRNA from 1 species